AUGACGGGCCGCACAAGCGGUGGAUUAUGUGGAUUAAUUCGAUGCAACGCGAAAAACCUUACCUACCCUUGACAUGCUAGGAACUUGCCAGAGAUGGCUUGGUGCCCGAAAGGGAACCUAGACACAGGUGCUGCAUGGCUGUCGUCAGCUCGUGUCGUGAGAUGUUGGGUUAAGUCCCGCAACGAGCGCAACCCUUGUCAUUAAUUGCCAUCAUUCAGGUUGGGCACUUUAAUGAGACUGCCGGUGACAAACCGGAGGAAGGUGGGGAUGACGUCAAGUCCUCAUGGCCCUUAUGGGUAGGGCUUCACACGUAAUACAAUGGUCGGUACAGAGGGUUGCCAACCCGCGAGGGGGAGCCAAUCCCAGAAAACCGAUCGUAGUCCGGAUUGUAGUCUGCAACUCGACUGCAUGAAGUCGGAAUCGCUAGUAAUCGCGGAUCAGCAUGUCCGCGGUCGAAUACGUUCCCGGGCCUU
rnacentral:rRNA from 1 species